rnacentral:lncRNA from 1 species
CUAUAUAGCAGGAAUCUGAUCACCAAGGGACCAAUGGAGUCACACCAGGUCAAGUUCUUUACCUGCACAGAGUUAAAGUGGAAUCUAUGUGAAUAAUAAGAGAUUAUCCUUCAUGAAAAAUGGGUACUUUUCCCUCAAAGCAGCACAUGUAGAAUCAUGCCAAGCCUCUCAAGUCCCGAGUGAGUUUGCUUCCAAGAGAACAGCUGCUUUGGAGGCAUCACAAUUCAUUAACAGGCAGAAACUGCUGGAAGGAAACAAGACCAGAAGAGGACCUGUAGAGAUCUGAGUAAGCAGACCCUGCUAGAUUAAUGACUGGCAUUGUCAGAACUGAGUGAUGGGGAGCUGCAGCGGCUUCAUAGGCUCACCCCUACCUAGUGGGUGUUGCCAUGGGUACCAGCUCAGAGGUGUCACAUUAAAAAAAAAGGGGGGAAAGGGAGAGACAGAUGAACAGCAAAAGGGAAUAAAGAAUACACACACCAUAACAAUAUAAAGAGACAUUCUAUGUACACAACAAAAAUGGGGUAUGUUAUGAUAUAGUAGAAUGUGAAAAAAAGAAGGAAAAACCAAGAAUGGUUGAAUUCUCAAUAAAAUCCUCUGGAUAGCAUGACCUAAUUUAUAUAUGUAUGAUUGCACAUUUUUAUUUAUUGUUUAAAGUCCAGGCAAUGAUAGAAAAGACCCUUAUUAAUCACGCAUUGUCUGACAACAGAAAAGAGUUAUUUGCGGCAUGCAAUCACUAUUCAUAAAUUUAUUGUUAUUUAGGGCCAUGUGCAGUCUAUAAAAAAUAAACUUAAUAAAUUAUUGUCAUUUAAAAUCACAAUUAGGUCCCAAUUCAGUAAGUGACAUCAACAUCCCUUACCAUCCCCAGCAUGACCAGUCGUCCUUUAAAUUAGAUGGACUGCUUAAACACUUGGUGAUUUGUGUCUUAUCAAAAGUAAUCUUCUGAGGUAGCACAGAAGCUGUUUUUAAUAACCUAGCCAGGGG